GCUGGCGGCAGGCUUAACACAUGCAAGUCGAGCGGAGUGAUGGUGCUUGCACUAUCACUUAGCGGCGGACGGGUGAGUAAUGCUUAGGAAUCUGCCUAUUAGUGGGGGACAACAUUUCGAAAGGAAUGCUAAUACCGCAUACGUCCUACGGGAGAAAGCAGGGGAUCUUCGGACCUUGCGCUAAUAGAUGAGCCUAAGUCGGAUUAACUAGUUGGUGGGGUAAAGGCCUACCAAUGCGACCAUCUGUUGCGGGUCUGUGAGGAUCAUCCCCCACACUGGGACUGAGACACGGCCCAGACUCCUACGGGAGGCAGCAGUGGGGAAUAUUGGACAAUGGGCGCAAGCCUGAUCCAGCCAUGCCGCGUGUGUGAAGAAGGCCUUAUGGUUGUAAAGCACUUUAAGCGAGGAGGAGGCUACUGAAGUUAAUACCUUCAGAUAGUGGACGUUACUCGCAGAAUAAG
rnacentral:rRNA from 1 species